GUCGUUUGGAUGUGCUCACUCUGCUCCUGCGUCUGCCCUCUAUUGUGUCCUUCAUAUAUACAUGCAUCGCUCUCGUCGCCUCUUCGUCCUUCUGCGUCGCCCCAUCCAGUCCUCCGCUCCGCUCGUAAAGAACCAUGGAGGUUGGUGUUAACUGACUUCUAGAUCUGUUGCUGUUCAUCGAUCGCUCUUCCGGUUCCACCCUCUUCGCUGCACCUUUCAUCACUGGCAAGAAAUCGCAGUUCUCGGAUCAUCAUCGGAUUUGGUUUGUUCAUCUCUCUCGUUCAGAAAUUGUGGCGAUCAAUUGAUCACUGUGUUUGGAUCGUCGUUUCAUCUGCUCGGCGCGUCAGCUAUAGGACUAAGGAAUACCUGGUGGCAUCCAGUACUUUGGUGAGCUUGAAGACCACUUUUACUGGGGUAAUGAGGUGAAGCUCUAUGAGCACCACAUAAAUGCUCUCUUUGCUAUGUUUUGGCACAAAGAGCCAGACAUCAAGUACUGAGUGUGCACAAUCAGCAAGACGUUUGCCAAACCAGGCUAGUAUAUGUAUUUUCAGGCACGAAGAGAACCUGCUGGACUACACUAAUCCAAACAAUGAUACACUCAUGGUCAGACUUGCAAAUGGCCGUCUGCUCACCGAAUGUCGCAUCAUGCUAGGAACUGACAAGAGGGCCACUAUAACCACCAACUGGUCUGAGUUUUGUCGCCGCACCAACAUUCACGAAGGAGACAUCUGUGCAUUUCAUUUCAGGAUCACUUCAAAGUGCCGCCUGGUUCUCACCGUGCACCGCCUCUAGAUGCACCAUUGAAGACACUGUAACCCCUGUGUCAAUAUAAUCUAGCACUAAGUACUCCUAAUUAUGCUCUAUCCCAUGAUAACAUAUGUUUGCUUUUGGGCCCUCUUAUCACAUGCUUUUGAAGACGCUAAAUCUAUGUUGUUGCUUAUGUAAAGUGCACUAUUCUUAGUCAGAUGGUUCAUGUUCAGAUCCAUA